UACGGAGGAGGCAAGCGUUAUCCGGAAUUAUUGGGCGUAAAGCGUCCGUAGGUGGCUCUUCAAGUCUGCUGUCAAAGAGUGGGGCUUAACCCUGCAAAGGCAGUGGAAACUGAAAGGCUAGAGAGCCGUAGGGGUAGAGGGAAUUCCCGGUGUAGCGGUGAAAUGCGUAGAGAUCGGGAAGAACAUCGGUGGCGAAAGCGCUCUACUGGACGGUAUUUGACACUGAGGGACGAAAGCUAGGGGAGCGAAUGGG
rnacentral:rRNA from 1 species